rnacentral:rRNA from 1 species
UCCCCUAGUAACUGCGAGUGAACCGGGAAAAGCUCAAAUUUUGAAUCUGGCAGUCUUUUAGAUUGUCCGAGUUGUAAUCUAGAGAAGUGUUUUCCGCGCUGGACCGUGUAUAAGUUUCCUGGAAAGGAACGUCAUAGAGGGUGAAAAUCCCGUCUUUGACACGGACUACCAGGGCUAUGUGAUGCACUCUCGACGAGUCGAGUUGUUUGGGAAUGCAGCUCAAAUAGGGUGGUAAAUUCCAUCUAAAGCUAAAUAUAGGCGAGAGACCGAUAGCGAACAAGUACCGUGAGGGAAAGAUGAAAAGAACUUUGGAAAGAGAGUUAAACAGUAUGUGAAAUUGCUGAAAGGGAAACGCUUGAUGUCAGUCGCGUUGGCUGGGGAUCAGUCUUGCUUAACUGCGAGGCGUAGUUCCUGGUUGACGGGUCAGUAUCAGUUUUGACCGUCGGAAAAGGGCUUAGGGAAUGUGGCACUCUCUUGGGGGUGUGUUAUAGCCUUGGGUC